rnacentral:lncRNA from 1 species
CACGCUUUGACGAGUGUAAGGCAGGUUGACGUUUCUUGCCCAGCUGUGAUUUCCGCUAAAUGGGCCAGCUGCAAAAUUUUACAUGUAGAUAAUCAACCAACACAGAAGCCACCAACUGCUUUAUUAAAGUAGAUGUCUGUCCUAGUGAGUUACACAUUGUGAGCCGACAUGGCAAUUCAUCCACCAGAGGCAGCUGAGUGCCUUAACAGUUUGCCAAGAUCGCCUUGCAAGGAUGGGCGUUGGUGGUGGAUGGCGGGCAACCGACAGCGUCAUUGCAUCAGUACUGCAAUAAAUUCUGCAGUCAAACUUUGUUCAUUAUGCAAUUCAACAUUUUAGUGGAUGUGUGAGCAACAAAAGUUCAACACUCACCUUUUGUCACUAUUUCUGGAAAGUCUACGCAUACAAUUUGACGCAAACGUUGGAUAACUCCAAUGUAUAUACACCACAGAGAAACCACUACAACUGUAUGGCGUCAAAUCCGAUUAAAAAAAGUCGAACGGGCGCCAUCGCGCGAGAAAGCAAGAUGAAACAUCAUUGCGCAGUCAAACACUUUUACCGAGAGAAAAUGUGGUCGAGCGAGCAUAGGACGUUUUCCGAGAGCGCAGGCCAACGUGGUGUGCGCAAAUUAAACUUGAGGACUUGCAAGUGUGACUUUGAGCGAGCGCAACUGCAUUAAAUGAAUUUGACAGCAGAGACUUUUGUUUGCCUGAAGAAAUACUUACUACAUGUCAAGACUCAGAAAUGACUGCACUGUCACAAAUAUGCCGCUUCCACACACGGAUGUAUUUUCAUCCCACUCACACCAAUUUUCCAGUCUGUUCUCCAAAACCCAUUUUGCUCUCGCAACCGCUUACUAUAAUUUUAGAACAGGGGGACAUUUUGACCAUACAGAUGAAAGAGGACGGUGAAAGAUGAACGAUGACUGACAAUAAUAAAGAGGUCUACUGUCACAAGUAUGUGGUGGUGAAGUUGUUCUCUGCCCAGCUGACAGAGACAGGAGAUACAGAGACAGGAGUCCAUUCUAUUACAAGUAGGUCACCUUGGCUCUCCUCUAUGCACAGCACUCCAGGGACUUCCUGCAGAAAGAUCAUGUUUGACCAGGUGGAGUCAGGCUUCUACUUCAUCGCCCUGGACCACUACACGAACGAGCCAGAAGACGUUAAGUUUGGACCACCAUUACAAUGAGCCUGUCCUCCUAUAGCUCCUCCCACCAGCCUCCACGGUUCUUUUAAUUAUGGUGAUGCCCCAACUGUAAGAACCUGGAGAUCUCUACUGGUUUUGAGGGAGGUGACAUGGCCACAAACAGUGCCUGGGACACCUUCCAGCGCUACCGCUGUCUGGAAAACGGCCAGAGGGUGGUCUGCUGCAACAGUGUGUCAGCUCGGCUGCACCUGGGAACUAAAGAUUGUCCAGUCUGCUGAGAGGGUCAUUGGCUGCCACCUGCCCUCCAUUAAGGUUCCUGCACGACUCCAGGGUAAGGAAGCGUGCAGGAAAGAUCAUCGCCAACCCCUUCCACCCUUUCUUCCAAAGACUCCCAUCUGGCAAACGGUUCAAGUCAAUCACGAUCGAAACUUCCCGCCACCUGAACCGUUUCUUCCCCCGUGCUAUGGCCCUCACCAACCGGCCACCUGGUCCACAAUGAUCCUCUCAUCCAUGGACUCUGCGUUAUUCAUCCAGACUAUGCACCGUGCGCUAUCAUCUUACAUUCAUCAUUUAUAAUGUAGCUUAUAGUGUUCAUACUGAAUGUGGAUCUAUGGAAAUUCUGCAUAUAUAUUUUUGGGCUGUUUAUUAUGGCAGCACCAUUUCACAGAGUCAAAUUCCUGUACAUGCACAUUUCUGGCGAAUAAAACUGAUUCUGAUUCUAAAGCUGAUUCUAAAGCUGGUUUAUCAUAUGUCAGUUUAGAUUUUAAGUGAUAAUGCAAGAGAAGCCGGUGUUUGGAGGACAUAUUGGCACUGGUGUUGUUAUGCCCGAGACAAAGUCUAAAUGUUCCUUUGCCAUACUGGCUGGCAAUGUUAUUUUUCCUUGCUUGCUAACUAGCCAACUACAGCUAAAAUACGAUCACG